rnacentral:tRNA from 1 species
GGCCUAAUGGCCCAAUGGCAAGGCGCUUGACUACGAUCACGCAGUAAUCAAGAGAUUCCAGGUUGUAAGUAUUACUCCUCGCUCGCCCACGCUUCAAGUCUAACAAUUCUCCAGCGACCCCUGGUUAGGUCA